UCCAGGAGAUUCUGAUGCACCUGAAGUUUCAGAACCACUGUGUCUGAGGUUGUCUAACAUGUUUGGCCUCCAUGUAUACAGAACGUUUCUCACCGGUCACCUUUUAACCAUUGGCUGUCAGCCUUGCUGUGCUAUAUAAAUACCUAGGACCAAACACCAGCCCCGGAGACUCUGAUUUAAUUGGUUUGGGGAGGGGUCAGUUAUGAAGAUGCUCCCAGGUCGUUCUAAGCCUGGACAGGGUUGAGGGCUCCUGCCUCUGGCCCCUACCUGAGACAAGCCCUCCCUCUUCUACUCACACUUUCCACGCCUCUCACACUCCCCUUCCUCCCACCUCAGACUUCGGAAGAAUGCCUCAAUCGCAGAUCCCCUUCAAAGGAGAUCUUCGUGGGAAAGCCCAGUGUAGAAAACAAGAAAAAGCAGAGCGGCUCUGACGGAAGGAACGCUCCACUGCCCAGAUCCCGACACGAGUCCUAACAACGCAAUUUAGACGAGCUGGUUUUGCAGACCGGAUGCAAAAGCUGCAAGGGCUGAGGUGGUAGAACACCGAUUUCUUCCUUUCCUCCAGUAAUGAAGAUAAAAGCUUGCCCCCUCUUUAUCAGAUGACUCCUAGCCAUGAAGUCCAAGGGAACACCAGAGGGAUAAUGUCUGCAGAGAUUCUAAGACCAGCUUGCCCCUCUAUGCUCCACGACAGUGUCUCAGAAACUUCUUCCAGAGCACCAGCUAUCUCCUCUCUACCAUGGGGAUAAUCACAGCAUCUGCCUGGACGGGUUGUUUUGAGUAUUAAAUAAAAUAAUGGGCAUAAGGUUAUAAACACAUGGCAGGUAUCCUAUGCACCUAAUAAAUACUAUUAUUAUUGUUA